rnacentral:snoRNA from 15 species
GGCACAAAUGAUGAACCACAAAGGGACUUAAUACUGAUCAUCUUGAUGUGACUUAAUGAUCAGCUGAUGUGC